AGUGAAACUUAAAGUCCAAAGUCUAAAAGCUACUGAAUUCAACCCACUCAGUCAGAACUUGUUGAAUUAUAUUUUGUCUACUGAUACUCAGAUGAAUGGCAGUGGAAGAAAGAAAAAGAAACUCGAAGAAGCAAAGAACUGAAUUCAAAGAUUAUGUCAUUAAAUUCCAGGUAUUUGAUACAGUGAAUAGAUCAGAGGUAAUCUCAGUUCCAUAUUUACUUGUGAUUUUCACCUUUCCCCAUUAUUUACCAAUACUGAAUUUACUAUAUUAAAACGAAGCCUGGCUUAAAAAACAUAAUAAUUUCACAUUCCUAUAGCAGCAGAUCAGUAACGCAGAUCCCAUAGC
rnacentral:lncRNA from 1 species